ACUAGAUCUAGCCCACACUCCCCCCCCNNNNCCCCCCCCCAUCACAGACAAAUCAAAUAAAGCAUUCACCACCCAUUCAAAGUAUAGGAGAUAGAAAUCCAAAUCACUAGUGGCGCUAUAGAGAAAGUACCGUAAGGGAAAGAUGAAAGAUAUCCUAAAAGUAAAAAAAAGCAAAGCUUACCCCUUGUACCUUUUGCAUAAUGAAUUAACUAGUAGUAACUUAGCAAAGAGACCUUUAGUUAAACUACCCGAAACCAGACGAGCUACUUACGAACAGUACCUAGAACGAACUCAUCUAUGUGGCAAAAUAGUGAGAAGAUUUGUAAGUAGAGGUGAAAAGCCUAACGAGCCUGGUGAUAGCUGGUUGUCCAAGAAAAGAAUCUCAGUUCAACAUUAAACAGUACCAAGAACCCCCUGAAGUUCCAAUGUAUGUUUAACUGUUAGUCUAAAAAGGUACAGCUUUUUAGAAAUGGGUACAACCUUAACUAGAGAGUAAAACAGACACACACAUGCCAUAGUUGGCUUAAAAGCAGCCAUCAAUUAAGAAAGCGUUCAAGCUCAACAAUAAAACUGUGUUAUAAUCCCAACAAUAACAAAUCAACUCCUAGUAUAAUUAUUGGACUAAUCUAUAUAAUUAUAGAAGCAAUACUGUUAACAUGAGUAACAAGAAAACUUUUUCUCCUCGCACAAGCUUACAUCAGUAACUGAUACUACACUGAUAGUUAACAGCCAAUAAAUAAAACCCAACGCCAAGCCAUUUAUUAAGCCCACUGUUAACCCAACACAGGCGUGCACCAAGGAAAGAUUAAAAAAAGUAAAAGGAACUCGGCAAACACAAACCUCGCCUGUUUACCAAAAACAUCACCUCUAGCAUAACCAGUAUUAGAGGCACUGCCUGCCCAGUGACUGAUAGUUAAACGGCCGCGGUAUCCUGACCGUGCAAAGGUAGCAUAAUCACUUGUUCUCUAAAUAAGGACUUGUAUGAACGGCCACACGAAGGUUUUACUGUCUCUUACUUUUAAUCAGUGAAAUUGACCUUCCCGUGAAGAGGCGGGAAUAACAAAACAAGACGAGAAGACCCUAUGGAGCUUCAAUUAAUCAACCCAAUAACCCACAACCUCAAACCACCAAGGGAUAAAAAAAACUUAUAUGGGUUGACAAUUUCGGUUGGGGUGACCUCGGAGCACAAAAACCCCUCCGAGUGAUUAAAGCCUAGGCCUACCAGCCAAAGCAUAACAUCACUUAUUGAUCCAAAGCUUUGAUCAACGGAACAAGUUACCCUAGGGAUAACAGCGCAAUCCUAUUCUAGAGUCCAUAUCGACAAUAGGGUUUACGACCUCGAUGUUGGAUCAGGACAUCCUAAUGGUGCAGCCGCUAUUAAGGGUUCGUUUGUUCAACGAUUAAAGUCCUACGUGAUCUGAGUUCAGACCGGAGCAAUCCAGGUCGGUUUCUAUCUGUUGCGCAUUUCUCCCAGUACGAAAGGACAAGAGAAAUAAGGCCAACUUUACACACGCGCCUUCAAAUAACUAAUGAUCUAAUCUUAAUUAAACAAACAAGCGCAAACUAACCCUGCCCAAGACCAGGGCAUU
rnacentral:rRNA from 1 species